GACGAACGCUGGCGGCGUGCCUAAUACAUGCAAGUUGAGCGCUGAAGGUUGGUACUUGUACCAACUGGAUGAGCAGCGAACGGGUGAGUAACGCGUGGGGAAUCUGCCUUUGAGCGGGGGACAACAUUUGGAAACGAAUGCUAAUACCGCAUAAAAACUUUAAACACAAGUUUUAAGUUUGAAAGAUGCAAUUGCAUCACUCAAAGAUGAUCCCGCGUUGUAUUAGCUAGUUGGUGAGGUAAAGGCUCACCAAGGCGAUGAUACAUAGCCGACCUGAGAGGGUGAUCGGCCCCAUUGGGAAUGAGACGCCGCCCCAACUCCUACGGGAGGCAGCAGUAGGGAAUUUUCGGCAAUGGGCGAAAGUCUGACCGAGCAACGCCGCGGGAGUGAAGGAGGUUUUCGGAUCGGAAAACUCUGUUGGUAGAGAAGGACGUUGGUGAGAGUGGAAAGCUCAUCAAGUGACGGUAACGACCCAGAAAGGGACGGCUAACUACGUG
rnacentral:rRNA from 1 species